GUGUGGGUGUGCAGCGUGUGUUUGGGUGUGCAAUGGCUGGGGUGUGGGUGUGCGCGCACCCCGUGCAACCCCCGUGUGCUGUGGGUGUGCUGCGGGUGGUGUGUGUGUGUGUGCGUGCAUUGCACGUGAGCGUGCGCUGUGUGUGCCUGUGUCUGGGCAUGCUGUGCCUGCUGUGGGUGGUGUGCGCGUGUACAUGCGUGUGCCCUGCACGUGUGCACUGUGGGUGUGCGCUGCCCGUGUGCACUGGGGGGGGGCGUGAGCACCGUGUGCAUGCACUGGGGGUGUCGAAUGUACACGCACUGUGUGCACACUCGCGCUGUGUGUGUGUGCUGCUGGUGUAGCGUGUGUGCACUGUGCGUGCACGCCCCGGGUGCUGUACGUGCACGUGCUGUGUGCACACUCGGGGUGCUGCACAUGCCCGGGCUGCGUGUGCACGCUGCGUGUGUCCUGCGGGUGCUUCGUGAGUGUGCGCAAUGUGCGUGCGCUGUGGGUGUUGUGCGUGCACGUGCUGCGUGUGCGCUGUGCCUGUGCUUCGGGUGUCGGGUGCGUGUGCACCGUGGGUGUGCGUGCACUGUGUGCGCGCUGCAGGUGUUGGGUGUGCGCGUGCUGAGUGUGCACACUGUGUGUGCUCGGGGUGUUGCGUGUGCGUGCAACAUGGGUGUGCGUGCACUGUGGGUGUGCACUGUGGGUGUGCCCUACGGGUGGGUGUGCACUACGGGUGCGCCCUGCGGGUGUGCACACACUGUGAGUGUGCACUGUAGGUGCGUGUGCACUGUGUGGGUGUGCACUGCGGGUGUGCGUGCCCGACGGGUGUGCACUACGGGUGCGUGUGCACUGUGCGUGUGCACAGUGGGUGUGCACACCGCAUAUGUGCACUGUGGGUGUGGGUGUGCGACGCACGUGCACCAGCGGCUGUUGCACGCGCGCGUGCACCCUGUGGGUGUGCCCCGGCCGUUGUGCUGCGCGUGCCCCCGCUCCGUGCACACCCACCCACACCCACACUCACUCGCACACACGCGCGUGCCCCGCCCCGCCCCCCCGCGUGUCGCACACCCGCCCCUUGCACACGCGCGUGCCCCCGGCCGCUGCUGCGUCACCAGGCCUGCGGGGCGGGGG
rnacentral:lncRNA from 1 species